CAAUAAGCGGAGGAAAAGAAACUAACACGGAUUCCCCUAGUAACUGCGAGUGAAGCGGGAAAAGCUCAAAUUUAAAAUCUGGCAGUCUAUGGCUGUCCGAGUUGUAAUCUAGAGAAGUAAUGCCAGCGCUGGACCGUGUACAAGUCUCCUGGAAUGGAGCGUCAUAGAGGGUGAGAAUCCCGUCUCUGACACGGACUACCAGGGCUUUGUGGUAUGCUCUCAAAGAGUCGAGUUGUUUGGGAAUGCAGCUCUAAAUGGGUGGUAAAUUCCAUCUAAAGCUAAAUAUUGGCGAGAGACCGAUAGCGAACAAGUACCGUGAGGGAAAGAUGAAAAGAACUUUGGAAAGAGAGUUAAACAGUACGUGAAAUUGCUGAAAGGGAAACGCUUGAAGUCAGUCACGUUAGCUAGGAAUCAGCCUUGCUUUUGCUUGGUGUACUUUCUGGUUGACGGGUCAGCAUCAAUUUUGAGUGCUGGAAAAAGGCCUUGGGAAUGUGGCAGCUUUGGCUGUGUUAUAGCCCUUGGUCACAUACAGCAGUUGGGAUUGAGGAACUCAGCACGCCGCAAGGCCGGGUUUCGACCACGUUCGUGCUUAGGAUGCUGGCAUAAUGGCUUUAAGCGACCCGUCUUGAAACACGGACCAAGGAGUCUAACAUGCCUGCGAGUGUUUGGGUGGUAAACCCUUGCGCGUAAUGAAAGUGAAAGUUGAGAUCCCUGUCGUGGGGAGCAUCGACGCCCGGACUUGAACUUUUGUGACGGAUCCGCGGUAGAGCAUGUAUGUUGGGACCCGAAAGAUGGUGAACUAUGCCUGAAUAGGGUGAAGCCAGAGGAAACUCUGGUGGAGGCUCGUAGCGAUUCUGACGUGCAAAUCGAUCGUCAAAUUUGGGUAUAGGGGGCGA
rnacentral:rRNA from 1 species